UAGGUGGCAUGUGUGAAGCUUGGUAGUGCAUUACUGUCAGUGUAAUCCAAUUAGUCUGAGCACAGCAAUGUUCAGGCUCCAAGCUGGUGUUGAGGGAAUUCUGUCUGCAUGCAUCCUACCAAAUGCUUCCCUGCUGUGCAUAAGAGCAUUAGCAACACUGCCUGGAUGCAGCAGACGUUAUUAUCACCUUUCCAUGAUGAAGGCAGGGGAUAACUGUAUCCCCUAGAACAUGGCGACUUAUGUAAAAAGAAUAGAAUAGUAACAGCAUGGAAGGGAUAGAGACAAUUUCAGUAAAUUAGAAUAGUUUAAUAAUAAGAAUAGAAUAGAAUAGAAUAGAAUAGAAUAGAAUAGAAUAGAAUAGAAUAGAAUAGAAUAGAAGAGUAAAAACAUGGAAGGGUUAGAACAUGGUAACUUCAAUGAACAGAAUAGAAUAGAAAAUUUUUCUAAAACAAGGAGGGUACACGAUUUGAGGCGAGAGCUUUAAUCCACGAGUGAACACACAGGCUGCAUUUUCCUUUUUGAGUCUGAGAACCCCGCCUCUUACACACACGGCAGCCUUAUCAUUCACAGGACUCCCCACGGUGAUGGAAACCGCAGAACUCCUCUUGAAUCACAUCUUCAGUUAUUACAGAAUCCCAGAAGACAUCGUAUGAGACCACGGACCCCAGUUUAUUUCCAAGUGUCUUCCCCUUCCUCAAGACUCCUGUGUGUACCUGCAUUCAAUACUCACCAUUCCCCAGCGAAGUGUGUGCAUCCAAUCUGCCUUCCUUCCGUUAAUCAACAAUCUCCUGGUCCUGUAAGAGAAAAACAUCCACAUUACCACUCUAUCCAUCUCAGUUAAAGUAUCUAUUGCUGUCAAUAAAUCGCCCUGUUGUCGGCGCUGAUGGCCUCAUGGGCAGCGCGCCGACAUGUAGCGCCAAUGCACUUCAGGCAACCCAAGUUCAGCUCAUGGUCCCUUUCCUGAUCCCGUCCCACUCUUUCUCUCCCACUUUGCUUCCUGUCUAAUCACUGUCCUAUCAUAAUAAAGGCAAAAAUGCCAAAAAUAAAUCU